GAUGAACGCUGGCGGCGUGCCUAAUACAUGCAAGUCGAGCGAACGGACGAGAAGCUUGCUUCUCUGAUGUUAGCGGCGGACGGGUGAGUAACACGUGGAUAACCUACCUAUAAGACUGGGAUAACUUCGGGAAACCGGAGCUAAUACCGGAUAAUAUUUUGAACCGCAUGGUUCAAAAGUGAAAGACGGUCUUGCUGUCACUUAUAGAUGGAUCCGCGCUGCAUUAGCUAGUUGGUAAGGUAACGGCUUACCAAGGCAACGAUGCAUAGCCGACCUGAGAGGGUGAUCGGCCACACUGGAACUGAGACACGGUCCAGACUCCUACGGGAGGCAGCAGUAGGGAAUCUUCCGCAAUGGGCGAAAGCCUGACGGAGCAACGCCGCGUGGAGUGAUGAAGUCUUCGGAUCGUAAAACUCUGUUAUUAGGGAAGAACAUAUGUGUAAGUAACUGUGCACAUCUUGACGGUACCUAAUCGGAAAGCCACGGCUAACUACGUGCCAGCAGCCGCGGUAGUACGUAGGUGGCAAGCGUUAUCGGGAAAUUAUGGGCGUAAAGCGCGCGUNAGCGGUUUUUUAGUCUGAUGUGAAAGCCCACGGCUCAUUUGUGGAGGGUCAUUGGAAACUGGAAAACUUGAGUGCAGAAGAGGAAAGUGGAAUUCCAUGUGUAGCGGUGAAAUGCGCAGAGAUAUGGAGGAACACCAGUGGCGAAGGCGACUUUCUGGUCUGUAACUGACGCUGAUGUGCGAAAGCGUGGGGAUCAAACAGGAUUAGAUACCCUGGUAGUCCACGCCGUAAACGAUGAGUGCUAAGUGUUAGGGGGUUUCCGCCCCUUAGUGCUGCAGCUAACGCAUUAAGCACUCCGCCUGGGGAGUACGACCGCAAGGUUGAAACUCAAAGGAAUUGACGGGGACCCGCACAAGCGGUGGAGCAUGUGGUUUAAUUCGAAGCAACGCGAAGAACCUUACCAAAUCUUGACAUCCUUUGACAACUCUAGAGAUAGAGCCUUCCCCUUCGGGGGACAAAGUGACAGGUGGUGCAUGGUUGUCGUCAGCUCGUGUCGUGAGAUGUUGGGUUAAGUCCCGCAACGAGCGCAACCCUUAAGCUUAGUUGCCAUCAUUAAGUUGGGCACUCUAAGUUGACUGCCGGUGACAAACCGGAGGAAGGUGGGGAUGACGUCAAAUCAUCAUGCCCCUUAUGAUUUGGGCUACACACGUGCUACAAUGGACAAUACAAAGGGCAGCGAAACCGCGAGGUCAAGCAAAUCCCAUAAAGUUGUUCUCAGUUCGGAUUGUAGUCUGCAACUCGACUACAUGAAGCUGGAAUCGCUAGUAAUCGUAGAUCAGCAUGCUACGGUGAAUACGUUCCCGGGUCU
rnacentral:rRNA from 1 species